rnacentral:rRNA from 1 species
CCCGCUGAACUUAAGCAUAUAACUAAGCGGUGGAAAAGAAACCAAACGGGAUUCCGUUAGUAACGGCGAGCGAACACGGAAUAGCUCAGCGCUAAGGCCAGUCGGCGUAUGCCGGUCUGGCGGUGCAGCGUGAAUGCGGCAGUGAAUCGUGCUUUGCUUUCGCAGCGCAAGUUCCUCUGACAAGGACUCUAUCCAUAGAGGGUGCUAGGCCCAUAGCUGCUGCGAAGCUAUUGCGCGCAUACUGUCGUAUGCUAGAGUCAGGUUGCUUGAAAGUGCAGCCUAAAGCAGGUGGUAAACUCCAUCUAAGGCUAAAUAUUACUGCGAGGCCGAUAGCAAACAAGUACCGUGAGGGAAAGUUGCAAAGAACUUUGAAGAGAGAGUUCAAAAGGACGUGAAACUGUUUGUAGGUAAACAGGUGGAACCACGAAGUUUGCUGGGAAGUUGAUUCAACUGUUCCGCUGUGGCAGCCUCAGACGCGUUAUGUGGCUUUCGUAUGAGGGCAGGCGUUUGGGGCGUUAUUGCCGCUGUCGGACGGUGCAUUUCUUCGUUCCCAUGCUAAAGCCGUGACCAGUUAGGUGGCUGGGGCGACCGUACGCGAAGGCCAAAGGAAGGUGACUAGGCGUGCCUUGUGUGUGUCUAGUGUUACAGCCUUUGGUCUGGUGUUGUGUGCCUCUAGUGUGCUGACUGGCAUAAGUUCUCCACUUAUGUGGGGUAUGCAAGUAAAGUGUUGGCGCAGUUCUGUUGCCGAGACAAGUGUCGAUUUUGCCGUUGUUUUGGUGCUUCGCAUUAAAAAGCGGUUCUAUUGAUCUGUCUAUGCUGGUGGCAGUAUCUCUGUGUUCAGCAUGUCUAUCGACGGCAAGUAGGUCGGUAUCCACCUGACCCGUCUUGAAACACGG